AUGCUUACCUGAACAAAGUCAAUGAAUGAUCAAUAAGGCUGGCCUAGACUGAUCUCGCACAUUGCACAUAGUGAGCAUGUCAGUUUAUCAUCUCCUUUUCGUGGGAGAGUGAACAUCAUAAUAUGUGAUAGAGGAGCAAUCGUCCGCCUGGCCCCUA
rnacentral:snRNA from 2 species